GACGAACGCUGGCGGCGUGCUUAACACAUGCAAGUCGAACGGAAAGGCCCUGCUUUUGUGGGGUGCUCGAGUGGCGAACGGGUGAGUAACACGUGAGUAACCUGCCCUUGACUUUGGGAUAACUUCAGGAAACUGGGGCUAAUACCGGAUAGGAGCUCCUGCUGCAUGGUGGGGGUUGGAAAGUUUCGGCGGUUGGGGAUGGACUCGCGGCUUAUCAGCUUGUUGGUGGGGUAGUGGCUUACCAAGGCUUUGACGGGUAGCCGGCCUGAGAGGGUGACCGGCCACAUUGGGACUGAGAGACGGCCCAGACUCCUACGGGAGGCAGCAGUGGGAAAUAUUGCACAAUGGGCGGAAGCCUGAUGCAGCAACGCCGCGUGCGGGAUGACGGCCUUCGGGUUGUAAACCGCUUUCGCCUGUGACGAAGCGUGAGUGACGGUAAUGGGUAAAGAAGCACCGGCUAACUACGUG
rnacentral:rRNA from 1 species